rnacentral:rRNA from 1 species
GACGAACGCUGGCGGCGUGCUUAACACAUGCAAGUCGAACGGAAACGCCCUGCUUUUUUGCUUUUCUCGCGUUGCGGUCGCGUACGUAACACUUACGUAUCCUGCCCUUGCCUUUCGGAUAACUUCAAGAAACUGGGACUAAUACUGGUUCGGAGCUCCUUCUGCAUGUUGGGUGUCUAACAGUUUCGGCGGUUGGGGAUGUUCUAGCGGCUUAUCAGCUUGUUGGUGUGGUAGUGGCUUACCAAGUCGUUGACGUGUAGCCGGACUGAGAGGGUGACCGGGCACAGAGGGACUGAGAAACGGGCCAGACUCAUACGGGAGGAAGGAGUGGGGAAUAGUGCAAGAAGGGCGGAAGCCGGAAGGAGCAACGCCGCGUGGGAGAUGACGGUCUUAGGGGUGGAAAACGCUUUCGCCUGUGACGAAGCGGGAGUGACGGUAAUGGGUAAAGAAGCAACGGCUAACUACGUG